UCAGGUUAAAUGACUGAGAAGAUAAAAUAAGGAAACCAAACCCUCUACAGUGAAGUGACAUAUGGCUGCUCUGCAGUUGGGAAGGAGUGUUAAAGAGAAUGAGAAUCCUCUUCUGCUUGAGCCUUGCUCUUUUGAAACACAGGCUGUCUUUCUGCAUUGGCAAUGGGACCUUUCAAACCUAACAAAGUCCAGCAGCUUGGCUUGUCCAGAAGCUGUCUGUAUUGACUGCAUCUCCUUCCCUUCAAUUCUUCCACUGACACAGAUUUUUAUGAAAGUAACAGAUGCCAAGUUUACGUAAAAGCUAAUUCCUCCUCUUCUAGAUGACC